rnacentral:rRNA from 1 species
AUUGAACGCUGGCGGCAGGCCUAACACAUGCAAGUCGAGCGGAAGGGGCUUCGGCCCCGAGAGCGGCGGACGGGUGAGGAUAGCGUGGGAAUCUGCCUGUAGAUGGGGGAUAGCCCGGAGAAAUCCGGAUUAAUACCGCAUAAUACCUGAGGGUCAAAGUGGAGGAUCGCAAGACUUCACGUCUACAGAUGAGCCCACGUCAGAUUAGCUAGUUGGUAGGGUAAAGGCCUACCAAGGCGACGAUCUGUAGCUGGCCUGAGAGGGUGGCCAGCCACACUGGAACUGAGACACGGUCCAGACUCCUACGGGAGGCAGCAGUGGGGAAUAUUGGACAAUGGGCGCAAGCCUGAUCCAGCCAUGCCGCGUGUGUGAAGAAGGCCUUCGGGUUGUAAAGCACUUUAAGUUGGGAGGAAGGUUCCAAGGCUAAUACCUUUGGGAAUUGACGUUACCGACAGAAUAAGCACCGGCUAAUUCCGUGCCAGCAGCCGCCGUAA